GACAGUUAUAUAGAUAAUGAGAGAGACAAAGAGAAAGGUCUUCCUUCCGUUGGUUCACUCCCCAAAUGGCCGCUACGGCCCGCACUGCACCGCUCCGAAGCCAGGAGCCAGGUACUUCUUCCCGGUCUCCCAUGUGGGUGUAGGGCCCCAAGCACUUGGGCCUUCCUCCACUGCCCUCCUGGGCCACAGCAGAGAGCUGGACUGGAAGAGGAGCAACCGGGACUAGAACCCAGUGCCUAUAUGGGAUGCUGGUGCCACAGGUGGAGGAUUAACCAAGUGAGCCAUGGCGCCGGCCCUCUCUCCCCUAUUUCUAACAUUCCUCUACCCAUUAUCUAAUAUUUAUCUCAAAUGUAAUUUAUUAAAAUUCUGAAGACUGUCUCUAUUAUGCAUACCACUAGUGUUACUUGCUGCUUUUCUCUGUACUGUAGCACUUUGUAUAUAUCUAUAUUAUUAUACCACAAUUUUUCUAAGAUUUAUUUAUUUGAAAGGCAGAGUUAGAGCUUCCAUCUGCUGGUUCAGUCUGCAAAUAGCCACAACAGCCGGAUCUGGGCCAAUCUGAAGCUAGGAGUUUCUUCCAGGUUUCACAUGUGGGUGCAGGAGUCCAGGCACUUAGGCCAUCCUCCAGUGCUUUCCAGGUGCAUUAGCAGGGAGAUGGAUUGAAGUGGAGCUGCCCGGACUCAAACUGGUGCCCAUAUAGAAUGCCAACUCUACAGACAGUGGCUUAACAUGCUACGCCACAGUACCAGCCCCAUACCGUAAUUUUCUACAUGCUCAACUUUUUCUUCAAAUAUAUUACGGUUGAAGUUUGUUCUCUGCUUGUUAGGGUCUAUUUUAAGGGCUGAAUUAAGAAAAUAUAAAGAAUUUAGGAAGAAUGUUUAAAACCACAGAAUUUGAUAGGCGUUAGCUGUUUUAAGAACAAUGUCUAAUAUUAGGGUCUGGCUGUCCUAUUAUCUAAGAUAGUUACUAGGAAAAGCAACUGGUGGUAUGAAAUGGAAUAAACCACAUUCCCAUUUGAACUUGAAAAAAAAUUUUUUUUUAACAGGCAGAGUGGAUGGUGUUAGAGAAAGAGACAGAGAGAAAGGUCUUUCUUUUGCCUUUGGUUCACCCUCCAAUGGCCACCGCAGCCGGCGCGCUGCGACCAGCGCACCGCGCUGAUCCGAAGGCAGGAGCCAGGUGCUACUUCCAGGUCUCCCAUGUGGGUGCAGGACCCAAGCACUUGGGCCAUCCUCCACUGCACUCCCGGGCCACAGCAGAGAGCUGGCCUGGAAGAGGGGCAACCGGGACAGAAUCCGGCGCCCCGACCGGGACUAGAACCCAGUGUGCCAGCGCCGUAAGGUGGAGGAUUAGCCUAUUGAGCCAAGGCGCCAGGAACUUGAAAAUUUUAAUGGUAGAACUUUCAGGGUCCUGUGCUGUGGUGCAGCAGGUUAAUCCUCUCCCUGCAGCGCCAGCAUCCCAUAUGGGCACCAGUUCUAGUCCCGGCUGCUCCCCUUCUGAGCCAGCUCUCUGCUAUGGCCUGGGAAAGCAGUGCAAGAUGGCCCAAGCGGUUGGGCCCCUGCCCCGGCGUGGGAGACCCAGAAGAAACUUCUGGCUCCUGGCUUCAGAAUGGCCCGACUCCAACCAUAGCAGCCAUUUGGGGAUGAACCAGUGGAUGGAAGACCUUUCUCUCUGUCUCUCCCCCUCACUGUCUGUAACUCUAACUCUCAAAUAAAUAAAUAAAAUCUUUUUUAAAAAAUAGAAUAUUCUUACACUGCAACUAAAGAAUAGAAUUUUGAAGAAUGAGAGCUAGAUAUAUAGGUCUGGACCCUUAGUAUUUAGAGUAUGCUAGGUGAAGCAUAGGAAAAGGUAACUCUUAGGGAAUAUGUGGAGUAAAGAGAAACUUGGAAACAGCAUUUCAGGGUUUGGGAGAGGAAAAAAUAAAAAAGAAAACUUUACAAGGACCAGAAUCCAAAGAGCUGAGAAAGGAAAGUAUCCAAAAGGAUGUGAAGUUUACUUCUGUUGUAGCCCAAGUAGUUUUUUUUUUAACCAUCUAUGAAAGUACUUCAAACAGUUAAUGGAAAAAUGGAAUUAAAAGAUAAGUGUCUUGGUGCAAAAAAGUUUGAAAUACAUGGAUAGUUUUUCCAUUUUUUUGUUUUGUUUUUGUGAGUUUUUUGGUAAUACACAUUUUACAUGAACUCUUUGAAGACCCUUUUAUACUUAACCUUUUUGAAUCUAUCUUUUACACUUGGAGCUGAGUCUUUUUUCUUUAUUAUUUCUUUCAUGCUAUAAGACAUUUUUUAAAAAUUUAUAUACAGGGAAGGGGCUGAGUUCUUGGAGGCCAGAAGAUCACAAAACUGUUAAAGGCUUUUAUAUUGUCACUAGAAAAAUACUCCCUUACUCAAGGCGUAAUCUGAGCUCUGCUGAAACCCACAACAGUGCUUAUGUCCACUGCAGCUUGGACCUGUCCACACCUUCCUUCUUCAAUAAGUGCUGUGCUGUGCUGUUUGGAGCCCAGAAUAUAACAUGCCAAAACUGUUAAUCCCUCCCCCAUAUUUGCUGAUUGAAAUACUAUCUGCUCUUCAGAAGUUUCUCACAGCCUUUCCCCUCCAGGACAACUUUCUUAAUUCUUGUAGGUGGGAAUGUUGUUCAUCUUAUAUCUCAUUCAGUACCUUUUCCAGACAGUGCCCAGAACAGAUUCUUGUUAAAUCCAAUUGAGUUACUUUGGCUCUGGCUCAGUUUCUAUAAAGACAUAUAGAAAAAUGGAUUUACAAUUUCCAUUUUUAAAAAGAACAUACAGGAAUCAUAGUCUCAUGCUAGUUAGACACAUAAGAGAAACUGUACUUUUAAAUACAUUCAGAACUUUCAGGUGUACAUAACUUACAAAUCAGAAUAUAUUAACCUUUUAAAAAUAUUAAUACUAGUUCAACUUAUGUAUUAAACCUACAUUGGCCGGCGCCACAGCUCACUAGGCUAAUCCUCUGCCUGCGGCACCAGCACCCGGGUUCUAGUCCCGGUUGGGGCGCCAGCUUCUGUCCCGCUUGCUCUUCUUCCAGUCCAGCUCUCUGCUGUGGCCCGGGAGUGCAGUGGAGGAUGGCCCAGGUCCUUGGGCCCUGUGCCCGUAUAGGAGACCUGGAGGAGGCUCCUGGCUCCUGGCUUCGGAUCUCAAUGCGGCCACUUUGGGGGGUGAACCAACAGAAAAAGGAAGACCUCUCUGUCUCUCUCUCACUGUCUAACUCUGCCUGUCAGAAAAAAAAAAAAAACACCCUACAUGUACAUUUUUCUUUUGGGGACUUCUACAUUUAAAUAUCUGAAUGUAUAUUGCUGCUUCAAGAUUAUAUACUCUUAAUAACUUCAAGAGUUUAAGUCAUUGAUCUUGUUGCUUCUCUUAUUUGAUCUUUGAAAUUUUUGGAAAUAUGAAUGUGGUGCUCAGUGAGGAUAAAGCUUAUAUGAAAGUCUUAAUAUUUAAAAUAAUCUAUUUUAAUCGGACUCUGUUUUCCUGGGUCUAAAAUGAACUUUCUCUUAAAUUUCAUUAUUAAUAACACAACUGCCUGCAUUUUCUUUUCAAGCGUUCAUACUAUAAUGCCCUCUGCUAGGAAAUCGGUCUAAGGAAAUAAUCCAAAGUAUGGGAAAGACAGCUGUGCACACCCUCAAUCACACUGUUUUUAAAGAACAAGCAGAUAGAAAUACUUGGAAUGCCCAAAACGUAAGACAGUCUUAAAAAUAACUAACAAAUACUUGAGUGUGUAACAUGUCCCAGACCCUGUGGUAGGCACUAGUCAAAAGACCAAAGUACAUCCUCAGGAUGUAUUAUCAUGAAGCCAUGUUGUUUAUUCAUACAGGAAAAUACUCAUGAUAACUACUAAAAAGACAACUGUACAUGCAUGCAUAUUGCUAUAUAAAACAGUGCAAAACCUACAAACAGAAGAAACUGGAAUAGGGCGUACCAAAAUGGUGCAGUGAUUUUGUCUAAUUUCCUCUUUAAAAUAUUAAGGAUAAUAUAAUUUAGAACAAAAAUGCAUCAAACUUCAGAAAAUAAAGGUAAAUAAUGUUCCUAAUUUCCCUUGUAAUUUCCCCUCAGAAUGUUUCCUUGUAUUUUUAUUCGAAAUAUGUUCUAUUUUUAAAAAGACACUUGGUUGAUCUCUUAAAUUACAUCUGGACAGAUGUUUUGUUUUCACGCUUAGAAAAGUAGAUUGUUUUAUUUUAUUUUUGUCUAACUGAAUUAAAGACCAACAAGAUCUCAAACCUUAGUGAGGAAAUUUUCAUUUGUUAGAAAGAAAAAAAAAAAAAAAGCUUUCUUCUUAGCAUGGUUGGCCAGGAAGGUUGGAUUUAAUUUAAAAUGAUUAAUGAGAUUUUGUCAGGCUCCUUGACUUGACCACCACUGCAGUUUGUCAGUGCAACAACCUGGGAAGCCGGGACGCCGCGCUGUCGCCCAAAUCCACUCUCCAGGGAAAAAAUUAACUGGGAGGACUAGAGCCAGGUACACGUCAGUGGCAUUGUCUCAAUAUUGACAGUUUAAAAGUCCAAAUAAGAAAUAUAAAUGUUUAGGGACACAUCCCUAAGAUAGUGUUUUCAGUUUCUUUGUAAGGAGUUAAUCACUUUUAAAAUAUUGAAGUUGUUAACCUUUUCCAAAGGAAACUAUUUGAAGACAAAUCUUUACUAAUGAUCCUCCCUCCUCUAAUUUGUUUGAAAAAUUAAAAUAAACAAAGAAUUUAGGAUCUCAGGUUACUUCUUUCUUUUUUAAAAGAACUAAAAUGAAGUAUUUUUAAAGAGUAAUUUUUCACCCUUGAAAACUUUUCGACAAAAGCAUGGCAUAAUUUUGUAAACAAAUUUAAAACCUAUUCAAAGUUAGCUAAAAACAAUUUACUGAAAGUAUCUGGUUAUUAGGUGGUAAAAAGCCUUAUUCUUGUUUAUUUUUGCUUCAUUAUUGGUAUUUGGUUGGACAAACUUAUUGUAUUUGGUACCUGUAAUUAACUGAGUAUUGAACAAAUGUAGUUUUUAUGCCAGUUACAUAUUGAGUACCAACUAAUACCAAAUAUAGUAUCAAUUCCAACUUAUCAUAAAAUUAUACGUAUCAUUAUUUGGAUUUGUAAAAAUUACCAGUACUAAUGUUUAGCAUCUUAUUUAAUUUAUUUUGUUUUUGGCAUCUUAUUUUAAAAUCUUUCCAAAGCAGUUCAGGCAAAAGGGAUUUCUUAAAUUAUCACAGGGCAGGUUUUGAGUGUAUGAUAGAUACCCUAAGACUACUUUUGUAAAAACUUCAAAUCAUGUGACUGACAAUUUUUAUCCACACAAAAUGAACAGAAUGCCUUCACGCUGAACAGUUUCAGUGUAGUUGUGUCUUCUAAGCUGCAUGACUGUGUUCCCUGAGAAGACCCUCUUCACGGCCAGGCUACCAGUAGAUAGAUGCCUGAGUUACCUGCAGUAGGUAGUCUGAAAAACAUCAAGAAAAGUGGAGCAGCAUAGAAAUGUUUACUAAGGCUGCUGUUCUUAUUGGCAGACAUUAACAGGAGCAAAAUAAAGUAGUUAUGUGUAUAUACCAGCACAAUUGUCACCCAUCAUAAUGGCCAUCAAGUAAGUUUCUUCUAAAGCAAGUAUUUCCAGCUCUAAAGGUGUUAGAUAGUUUAUUGCAUUUGUAAAAUCCUCAAAAAUUAUAUACCCUAUCUUGAAAGUGUGAAUUUUAGUGUUACUGCAGUUUAUGUACUACAUUACAUAUUUCUCCCAAAAAAAUAGGACUGCAAAAUCUAAUGGACAUCUAAUUCAUUCACACAAUCAUGUUUACAAAGGAAUUUAGAAACACUCAUUUCCCUUUGGAGAUUUUUAUUAUAUAUUAUUAUAUAUAAUUUUAUCCUUUCUUUAAUCUUGCAACUGAUAAACGAAUACUAUUUCCCAUAAUUCCAUCUGAGAAAAGAUUGUGGCCACAGUCAACAUUAAACCAGAAAAGUAAGAAAUUCUUGAUUGAGAUCAAACUUGUAUUAGAUUUAGUGAAGCCCAAAGCCCUCACAGGGUGCUAUUAUCACCAUGAUGGAUUUGUAUUGAUUCUGGGUUUGGUUCUCAGGCUUAGAAAUUGGGUUUUGUCAAAGCACCUCAUGUAUAUGUGUUUUUUAAAGAUAUUUAUUUGAGGCCGGCGCCGUGGCUCAAUAGGCUAAUCCUCCACCUUGCGGCGCCGGCACACCGGGUUCUAGUCCCGGUUGGGGUGCCGGAUUCUGUCCCGGUUGCCCCUCUUCCAGGCCAGCUCUCUGCUAUGGCCAGGGAGUGCAGUGGAGGAUGGCCCAGGUGCUUGGGCCCUGCACCCCAUGGGAGACCAGGAAAAGCACCUGGCUCCUGGCUCCUGCCAUCGGAUCAGCGCGGUGCGCCGGCUGCAGCGGCGGCCAUUGGAGGGUGAACCAACGGCAAAAGGAAGACCUUUCUCUUUCUGUCUCUCUCUCUCACUGUCCACUCUGCCUGUCAAAAAAAAAAAAAAGAUAUUUAUUUGAAAAGUAGAACGAAAGAGAGAUACACAGAUCUUUCAGACAUUGGUUCAGUCCCCAAAUGCCCAGGCUAAAGCUGGGGAACUCAUCUAGGCUUCCAACAUGGGUGGCAGGGACCCAAGUACAUGGGCCGUUAUCUGCUGCUGGGUGAAACAUAGAAUAGCCUAGGACUCCCAAGUGGAGGCUCAGCUUCCUGUGCCUUAAUGUCUGCCCCAUACAUGUGUAUUUCUCAUGACCCUGAUUUUAAAUCCAGAACUGAAGAAAAUGUUAUUGAUUGCUUACCAAAUGCAAUCAGUACCUUCUCUCUCUUUGCCAAGCUGUGGUAAGGUGAUUGAUGAUCAUGGAAUCAGAGCAAGUUGUGUUCUUGAAUCCAUUUUAAAAAGUAAUUUUUCAUUUUUGAAAACUUUUAGACAAAAGUGCCAAUAGUAAGGUAAAACAGCUUUUAGACAAAAACAUGGCAUAAUUUUGUAAACAAAUUUAAAACCUAUUCAAAGUUAGCUAGACCAAAUUAAUGAAAAUAUCUAGUUAUUAGGUGGUAAAAUGCCUUAUUUUUGUAUAUUUUUGCUUCAGUAUUGGUAUUUGGUUGUAUGAACUUAUUGUAUUUGGUACCUGUGAUAAACUGAGUAUUAAACAAAUGUAGUUACACCAGUUACAUACCAAAUAUAGUGUCUAUUCCAAUUUAUCAUAAAAUUAUACGUAUCAUUAUUUGGAUUUGUAAAAAUUACCAGUACCAAUGUUUAGCAUCUUAUUUAUUUUGUGGGUUUUUUGGCAUUGUAGAGUUUAUUGUCUAACCCAUGACACUUCUGAGAGUGCUAAAAUGAUAAACCAGAUGGUACUUCAAGACAACAGAUAUAAACUACAUCCGGAUAUAUGGUCAACCUAGCCAUGACUAUCGUACAAUGUGAUAAUGUAAUAACAGAAGUUUAACGGUGCAGUGAAAACAUGUUGAAUGUAAUGCACUGAAGUGUGAAAUUUUGUUUCUUAUCUAAAGCAUUUCUAAAUUUAAUUUCCAAUUGGUAUCCAUUCUGUUAGGCUGGGCAACUUUAUAUCAUACCACACAGUCCUCUUCUAGCAUCUUAGCAUCUACGAGAUUCCUGUAAAGGAUCUCAUUUUGCAGUUUGUUCAACCAUAAGGAACUGAGUAUCAGAAAUCUCUAAAAAAAACCUAUGGAAAUACUUAAUUGGCAAUAAUAUUGCUAAAAUGAAAACUAUAAAUAAUGUAUACCUUUUAUUAUACUUACUCUGGUAAGGGUUGUGUUUUCCUUAAUUCAUUUACACUCCACAAGUAUACUCUGAGGAAACAAAUGGCUUUAUUUAUCCAUUCUGUGAAGAAGUUAUUGAAUAACCAAAAGCCCAUCCUAAAACCGAUUAUAUACCACUUUCCUAUUCUGUGAAAUAAUGACAAGUGACUUAUUUUCUCAUAAGUAGAUUGCCUUCAUAUUGUUGUAUCCAUGAAAAUUAUUAUUUGUUGUCGUAUCAAUUGCAGUAUUGUGAAUAAACACAAAAAGCAGAUUUCAUAUUUAAAAUGGCAUUUAGGAACAGUUAAGGUGCCACUUAGGAUGCCUAUGUCUUGUAUCAGAGUGCUGGGUUGAGUCCCGGUUCUAGCUCUCAAUUUCAGCUUCCUGCUAAUGUGAACUCUGGCAGGCAGCAGGUGAUGGCCUAAGUACUUGGGUCCCAGCCACCCAUAUGGAAAGAUAGAUAGAAAGAAGAUAGAAAAUCUCUCUGUCUCUCUCGAACUUACAAAUAAUUUUUAAAAUAGAGACAGAACAAAAGGACAAAUUCUUUCUCUGUCUUUAAAAAAAAAAAAAAAGAAGAUAAUCUGCCCAGCAUUGUGGCAUAGCAUUGUGAUGCAGCAGGUUUAAGACAUUGCUGACAUCCUAUAUGGGUGCCGAUUUGAGUCCCUCUGCUUCACUUCCAAUCCAGCUCCCUGCUCAUGUGCCUGGGAAAGCAACAGAGGAUGCCUCAAGUGCUUGGGCCCCAACCACAUGUGGAAGACUUGGAUGGAAUUCCAGGCUCCUGGCUUCAGCCUGGGCCAAGUAAACCAUGGAUGAAAGAUCUUUCUCUUUCUCUUUCUGUCUUUCCCUCUCUUUCUCUCUGUAACUCUUUCAAAUAAACAAAUCAUUUUUAAAAGUAAAAUGACAUUUAAUAUAACAUUUUUAUAUUCUUGGUCACAGAGCUAUUUAAAUACUGUAUUAUAUAAUGUUUAACAUAAUUAAAUUAUUUUGGCAAUUCUUUAUAGAUCCCUUCUACAGUUAACACAUUCGCACUGCAUUUACUCAUUACGUUGCUGUAUUUUGCUAUGAAUUUCAGGUUACUUAUAUUCUGCAGAAAGUUAACUGAAAUAUCUACUGAGGAAGAAAAUGUAUCACUUUAAAUAUACCAAAUCAAAUGGAUGUCGAUCUAGCUUUGUUCUGUGGAUAAGAAAAAUGUUUGGCCGGCACCGCAGCUCACUUGGCUAAUCCUCUACCUGCGGCACCGGUACCCUGCGUUCUAGUCCCAGUUGAGGUGCCGGGUUCUGUCCCGGUUGCUCCUCUUCUAGUCCAGCUCUCUGCUGUGGCCCGGGAAGGCAGUGAAGGAUGGCCCAAGUGCUAGGGCCCUACACCCGCAUGGGAGACCAGAAGAAAGCACCUGGCUCCUGGCUUCGGAUCCGUAGUGUCAGCCGUAUCAGCCAUUAAGGGAGUGAACCAAUGGAAAGAAGACCUUUCUCUCUGUCUCUCUGUCUCUCUAACUCUGCCUGUAAAAAAAAAAAAAAAAAAAAAAAAAAAAAAAAAAAAAACAA